rnacentral:precursor_RNA from 14 species
UCAGGAUCCGUGUGUGGGAAGUGGUUGUUAUCUUUGGUUAUCUAGCUGUAUGAGUGUAUUGGUUUUCAUAAAGCUAGAUAACCGAAAGUAAAAACUCCUUCCAGAUCAUCACAUGGCAG